GACAGCGAUCAAUGACAUCAUUCAAAGGGAGGGGGAGCCAGACACGCCAGACAGGAGCUGGAGAUUGACAGGAAGACACAGAAAUGGGCUGCGUGGCCGUGUUUACAUGUAGGCUUCGCGCGCAGGGGCCGUUUUCGGCAGCCUUGCCAUCUGGCAAACGCCACUGGUGGACGUGGAUCAUACGAGACAGGCCGCGCCAGCACACUGACUGGAGACAGGCCAGGCGCGGCGGCAGGGAUUGGGAAAGGCAGUUGGGCUGGCUGUGGCACAAAGAGACAGAAAGGAGGAGACCAUUGUGCAGACGAGAAGCAGGGGCCAAGAGUCCACUUUGCAGUUACACAACUGUGAGAGGCUUCAAAGGAUUUGCUGGCAUACAGGCAGAGAGAGUGUUCUGUGACUCCCCAUCGAGACUGGGAAGGGGACAGCAAGAAGGAUAGGCAGCAGACAGGAAAACAAGCCGCCCAGAUCGGAGAGCUGAGCACCGUCGGAGUCGGGACACAAGGCCUCCUCCGUUCCUGCACCAAGGGUUCUUGACAUUCUUUUUGCCCUCUGCCUUUGCUCACCUAGACCUAACAACUUAGGCCAUCCCUAGGCUGAAAUGUGCCUCCCCUCAACACUUCAGUCCUGUGGCAAGGAGCUCCAAAAGAUGCUUUUGUUACAACUGAAGUAAGCACAGCUCCCCAAGAUGUCCUGCUCCUGCUCCUGCUCCUGCUCCUCUCAGGCUCAGCUAGACAAUGGGAAGAGGUCCCUGGCAACAGUGGCGGAAACCGCAGCUCAUGGGACAUGUCGGACUGACUUCCCUGGCAUGCCCAAAGGGGAGCACUUGGGAUUUCUCCUUUUAGAACAAGCCCCUCAAUUGUCUGUGCACUGCAGAGCAAGGAAGAGGGUGUGCCCGCCCCACUUUCACUGCCGUUUUGUUCCUUUCAGUCCCAAGACAAAUCCCUGAGUGUUUCGCCAGGCAUGCAUUUCCUCCUCCUGGACAACCAAGUUAUGCUUGUUAAUUUUAUUUUCUUUGCUGAAUCUGAGGGAGUGCACCCACUCGUCUCCAAGUCCCUUUGGUUAAAAGGGGGGGGGGCAAUUUUGAGGCACAAGGCUUGCUCCCACUACAGGGUGGCCCUAGUCUGGCUUUCCAAAUUUGGGUGCCUAAUUUGCAUAUGAUGUAAAUUGGCUGGAAAAUAAUUUCUGAGCAGAACAGUGACUGCACGUUUGGCUCUAACACUCCACUUCUACAAGGGCUAGAGCUUAGCUUUUUAAAAAAAUAAAAAAAUAAAAGCUGAAAUCUGGGCGAAUCUGGGUGGGCUAAGCAAUCCGGGUGAGAUGCUUAAAAUCUGGGUGAAACCCAAAAUUCCGGGGGGCAUGACAACUCUACUCCCACAACUGGCAUCCUAUACAGCAGG